UCAUCAUUCAAUAGAUCACUUUGUAGAAAAGUAGAAACCAUAAGCUUCUAUCGAAGCACAAAUAUCAAAACAAAGAAAAAAGAAGAUGAAUAUGACUCGAUUGUGACUGAACUGAUAGAAGUUUAACUCAGAGUGUAACUCAACUGCUCGAAAUGCUAAUUAUUGACAAUAAAUAAUUCAAAUAUCAACAAGAGCAUAGAGGAUGUUGUUUCCUUCGAAAACCCGAUCAA
rnacentral:lncRNA from 1 species